GACGAACGCUGGCGGCGUGCUUAACACAUGCAAGUCGAACGGUGAAGCGCCUUCCUUUUUGGUUGGUGUGGAUGAGUGGCGAACGGGUGAGUAACACGUGAGUAACCUGCCCCCUUCUUCUGGAUAACCGCAUGAAAGUGUGGCUAAUACGGGAUAUUCUGGGUCUGUCGCAUGAUGGGUCUGGGAAAGAUAUUGUUUCGGUGGGGGAUGGGCUCGCGGCCUAUCAGCUUGUUGGUGGGGUGAUGGCCUACCAAGGCGGUGACGGGUAGCCGGCCUGAGAGGGUGGACGGUCACACUGGGACUGAGACACGGCCCAGACUGCUACGGGAGGCAGCAGUGGGGAAUAUUGCACAAUGGGCGCAAGCCUGAUGCAGCGACGCCGCGGGAGGGAUGGAGGCCUUCGGGUUGUGAACCUCUUUCGCCAGUGAAGCAGGCCUGCCUCGUUUGUGGGUGGGUUGACGGUAGCUGGAGAAGAAGCGCCGGCUAACUACGUG
rnacentral:rRNA from 1 species